UCUAUUUGAACAUUAUGCUAAGACAAAUUAAGAAAAAUAUUUUCAUAAAAUGAAAUUGGCAACUUCACUUGCCUUGUAGUUAGUGUAUUUGAUGUAGUCGAACUUUAAAAUCGCGCUCAUUUUUUGUCGCUCCAAAUUAUACACAAGUGAAUUCGUUUUUAUUCUUGUUUUUAUUUUGUAUUUUUAUUUUGUAAAGUUUUUUUUUUGUCGCUGAAAAUGUUUUACCGUCACCUUCGCGGUCGUCGUUCACCUGUGAUAACAGAAAAUUGCGGAGUGAGACAUUCACAAGAAGCGCCAAAGGGAGCGAAAUAAAUAUACGUACGAGUAUACACGUACUUUUGGUAGUAAGUGUUCAUGCUUCGCCAAGAAUUCCCAUCUUCCUUUCUGCUUGCCAACUUCCCCAGACAUUUAUCUUACUCGAAUAUCCUCUCCUCUCCCUGUACUUGUUACAACCCAGGGCAUGUUGCCUUGUCCGGCCUGGGCCGAUGACUCGCCAUACGGUUAUUUGUUCUUGCCACGCUGUGGCAAUAAAAAGUAAAACCUUGCAACAACGUCGUGUGCCAAGAGGCGAGCUCAACGACAAACUUGUCGUAAUUCACUUUGAAGGCAAGUUUUGCCAUCGAUAAAUUUUCUACGAGCCAAACACUUGUUGCAUUUGCCUCGUAUACGGCCUGGACUUUUGAUGGGCGGCGUGGAGUUUGGGCUUGGGAGCUGGGGAAGGCAGUUGACUGGACGCAACUUUGUCCCAAAGCAAAGUGUCAAUGUAAAUCACUCGCCAUUCACAUCGAUGAACAGUUUCACAAGUCCCAGACUUUAACUUCUUUGCCAAUAAAGGAUCAGCGGAUUGUGUUUGAAGAUAUACGAAAUGUUUCAUCAAAUCGAAUUUCUUUUGUUUAUCGCUCAACAAAUUUUUUUGUUGAUUCAAGCAAAUGUGUACGACACAUCGAUAAAUAUUUUCACAAGUUCAACGACUUUUCUAAACAAAAAAAUUGCGAGCAAUUAAAGAAAAAUAUUAGCACAAGUUCUCAGACUGAGAUGACAUAGAAAAUCAGUCAAAAUUAGCGAAAUUAAAAAUCGGAAAAUGAAAAAAAAAUUUUUAUUGAAUUUUGGAUGACUAAUUAAACACAUUCAAUUAUAAUUUCUAAUGAUUUUGUAUGCCUGAUAUUUGAAAGAAUUCUAAAAUUAAGAUCAAAGAACCGCAUGACAGGCAUCACGUCCAUGACAUGGCAGCUUUUGCCACAACAGACGCAUUGAGUGACGUUCUAAAAACAAACCCACCGUAAAAUGCUCGCCUCUAAACAUAAUUGAAAUAUCGAUGGUUGCCGCUAAGUGAAUGGCUUUCAAUGUUGGCCUUUUUAGGCAAAAACAGGUUACCCAAAAACUGCUACAAUAUUCACCCAAUGAAGCUGAGAGUAACUCUCAGAUAGUCAAGUUAAAGCCAGAAAUUUGAUUUUUUCCAUUUAGAGGGGACAUGCGAGUGUAUUGCUUUUCAUGCAGAUGGCAAUUUUGUAAUGAAACUUCCACAAAACUGCACUCCACAUGGCCAGACAAGAGUGAACUGCAAGAUACGUUUGGACUGUCGAUGCCUGACUGACUCUUGAUGAACUGAGGAUGACUGUGGGCAAAAGGUUUAUUUGUACACCGAAUUGUGCAAUUUGCUGAAUUGCAAUUGCUCUCGAUUCUGUCUUUAAAUAAUGGUAAUUCAAGUUAAGUUGAGAAGAUAUUGAUAUUUGACCUAAAUUAUAAAAUUACCUU